rnacentral:rRNA from 1 species
UCGGGAAUUUUGGGCAAUGGGCGAAAGCCUGACCCAGCAACGCCGCGUGAAGGAUGAAGUAUUUCGGUAUGUAAACUUCGAAAGAAUAGGAAGAAUAAAUGACGGUACUAUUUAUAAGGUCCGGCUAACUACGUGCCAGCAGCCGCGGUAAUACGUAGGGGCCAAGCGUUGUUCGGAUUUACUGGGCGUAAAGGGCGCGUAGGCGGCAAUUCAAGUCAUCUGUGAAAUCUCCGGGCUUAACUCGGAACGGUCAGAUGAUACUGCUUUGCUAGAGUGCAGAAGGGGCAAUCGGAAUUCUUGGUGUAGCGGUGAAAUGCGUAGAUAUCAAGAGGAACACCUGAGGUGAAGACGGGUUGCUGGGCUGACACUGACGCUGAGGCGCGAAAGCCAGGGGGAGCAAACGGGAUUAGAUACCCAAGUAGUCCCUGAGCGGGCUGGCAAGGCGCAU